GAUGAACGCUGGCGGCGUGCCUAAUACAUGCAAGUCGAGCGAACAGACGAGGAGCUUGCUCCUCUGACGUUAGCGGCGGACGGGUGAGUAACACGUGGAUAACCUACCUAUAAGACUGGGAUAACUUCGGGAAACCGGAGCUAAUACCGGAUAAUAUAUUGAACCGCAUGGUUCAAUAGUGAAAGACGGUUUUGCUGUCACUUAUAGAUGGAUUCGCGCCGCAUUAGCUAGUUGGUAAGGUAACGGCUUACCAAGGCAACGAUGCGUAGCCGACCUGAGAGGGUGCACGGCAACAACGGACGUGAGAACCGGUCCCGACUCCUACGGGCGGCAGCAGUAGGCAAUCUUCCGCAAUGGGCGAACGCCUGACGGAGCAACGCCGCGUGAGUGACGAAGGUCUUCGGAUCGUAAAACUCUGUUAUUAGGGAAGAACAAAUGUGUAAGUAACUAUGCACGUCUUGACGGUACCUAAUCAGAAAGCCACGGCUAACUACGUG
rnacentral:rRNA from 1 species